rnacentral:rRNA from 1 species
GACGAACGCUGGCGGCGUGCUUAACACAUGCAAGUCGAACGGUAAGGCCCUUCGGGGUACACGAGUGGCGAACGGGUGAGUAACACGUGGGUGAUCUGCCCUGCACUUCGGGAUAAGCCUGGGAAACUGGGUCUAAUACCGGAUAGGACCACUGCCUGCAUGGGUGGUGGUGGAAAGCUUUUGCGGUGUGGGAUGGGCCCGCGGCCUAUCAGCUUGUUGGUGGGGUGAUGGCCUACCAAGGCGACGACGGGUAGCCGGCCUGGGAGGGUGACCGGCCACACUGGGACUGAGAUACGGCCCAGACUCCUACGGGAGGCAGCAGUGGGGAAUAUUGCACAAUGGGCGCAAGCCUGAUGCAGCGACGCCGCGUGAGGGAUGACGGCCUUCGGGUUGUAAACCUCUUUCAGCACCGACGAAGCGCAAGUGACGGUAGGUGCAGAAGAAGGACCGGCCAACUACGUGCCAGCAGCCGCCGUAC